rnacentral:tRNA from 1 species
GGAGAGGUGGCAGAGUCCGGUUGAAUGCGUCCGAUUCGAAAUCGGAUGUCCCGCCAAAAGCGGGACCCUGGGUUCAAAUCCCAGCUUCUCCG